rnacentral:rRNA from 1 species
UACGUAGGGUGCAAGCGUUGUCCGGAUUUAUUGGGCGUAAAGAGCGUGUAGGCGGCCAGGUAGGUCUGCUGUGAAAACUCGAGGCUCAACCUCGAGAUGUCGGCGGAAACCAUCUGGCUAGAGUCCGGAAGAGGAGAAUGGAAUUCCCGGUGUAGCGGUGAAAUGCGCAGAUAUCGGGAAGAACACCCGUGGCGAAGGCGGCUCUCUGGGACGGUACUGACGCUGAGACGCGAAAGCGUGGGGAGCGAACAGG